UCCUGUGUGGCUCAGUUGGUGAGAGCAGAGCGCUAGCAAUGCCAAGGUCACUGGUUCAAUUCCCACAGGAA
rfam:Salmo salar isolate Sally breed double haploid chromosome ssa03, whole genome shotgun sequence.